rnacentral:rRNA from 1 species
GACGAACCGUGCGAACGUUAUUCGGAAUCACUGGGCUUAAAGGGCGCGUAGGCGGGUCGGUAAGUCAGGGGUGAAAUCCCACGGCCCAACCGUGGAAGUGCCUCUGAUACUGCCGGCCUCGAGGGGGAUAGGGGCGUGCGGAACUCAGGGUGGAGCGGUGAAAUGCGUAGAUAUCAUUUGGAACGCCAAUGGUGAAAACAGCUCGCUGGGAAUGAUCUGACGCUGAGACGCGAAAGCCAGGGGAGCGAACGGG